rnacentral:misc_RNA from 1 species
GAAAUGCGAUAAGUAAUGUGAAUUGCAGAAUUCAGUGAAUCAUCGAAUCUUUGAACGCACAUUGCUCCCGCCAGUGUUCUGGCGGGCAUGCCUGUUCGAGCGUCAUUACAACCCUCAGGCCCCCGGGCCUGGCGUUGGGGAUCGGCGGAAGCCCCCUGCGGGCACAACGCCGUCCCCCAAAUACAGUGGCGGUCCCGCCGCAGCUUCCAUUGCGUAGUAGCUAACACCUCGCAACUGGAGAGCGGCGCGGCCACGCCGUAAAACACCCAACUUCUGAAUGUUGACCUCGAAUCAGGUAGGAAUACCCGCUGAACUUAAGC